CUCAUAGCGUAUAUUUAAGUUGUUGCAGUUAAAAAGCUCGUAGUCGGAUUUUGGCUGAGAACGGUCGGUCCGCCGUUAGGUGUGCACUGACUGGUCUCAGCUUCCUGGUGAGGAGGUGUGCUUCAUCGCCACUUAGUCACCGUGGUUACUUUGAAAAAAUUAGAGUGUUCAAAGCGGGCUUACGCUUGAAUAUAUUAGCAUGGAAUAACACCAUAGGACUCCUGUCCUAUUUCGUUGGUCUCGGGACGGGAGUAAUGAUUAAGAGGAACAGUUGGGGGCAUUCGUAUUUCAUUGUCAGAGGUGAAAUUCUUGGAUUUAUGAAAGACGAACUUCUGCGAAAGCAUUUGCCAAGGAUGUUUUCAUUGAUCAAGAACGAAAGUUGGGGGCUCGAAGAUGAUUAGAUACCAUCCUAGUCUCAACCAUAAACGAUGCCGACUAGGGAUUGGCGGAUGUUAAUUGAUGACUUCGCCAGCACCUUAUGAGAAAUCAAAGUUUUUGGGUUCCGGGGGGAGUAUGGUCGCAAGGCUGAAACUUAAAGGAAUUGACGGAAGGGCACCACCAGGCGUGGAGCCUGCGGCUUAAUUUGACUCAACACGGGGAAACUUACCAGGUCCAGACAUAGUAAGGAUUGACAGAUUGAGAGCUCUUUCUUGAU
rnacentral:rRNA from 1 species